GAUGAACGCUGGCGGCGUGCCUAAUACAUGCAAGUCGAGCGAACGGACGAGAAGCUUGCUUCUCUGAUGUUAGCGGCGGACGGGUGAGUAACACGUGGAUAACCUACCUAUAAGACUGGGAUAACUUCGGGAAACCGGAGCUAAUACCGGAUAAUAUUUUGAACCGCAUGGUUCAAAAGUGAAAGACGGUCUUGCUGUCACUUAUAGAUGGAUCCGCGCUGCAUUAGCUAGUUGGUAAGGUAACGGCUUACCAAGGCAACGAUGCAUAGCCGACCUGAGAGGGUGAUCGGCCACACUGGAACUGAGACACGGUCCAGACUCCUACGGGAGGCAGCAGUAGGGAAUCUUCCGCAAUGGGCGAAAGCCUGACGGAGCAACGCCGCGUGAGUGAUGAAGGUCUUCGGAUCGUAAAACUCUGUUAUUAGGGAAGAACAUAUGUGUAAGUAACUGUGCACAUCUUGACGGUACCUAAUCAGAAAGCCACGGCUAACUACGUGCCAGCAGCCGCGGUAAUACGUAGGUGGCAAGCGUUAUCCGGAAUUAUUGGGCGUAAAGCGCGCGUAGGCGGUUUUUUAAGUCUGAUGUGAAAGCCCACGGCUCAACCGUGGAGGGUCAUUGGAAACUGGAAAACUUGAGUGCAGAAGAGGAAAGUGGAAUUCCAUGUGUAGCGGUGAAAUGCGCAGAGAUAUGGAGGAACACCAGUGGCGAAGGCGACUUUCUGGUCUGUAACUGGCGCUGAUGUGCGAAAGCGUGGGGAUCAAACAGGAUUAGAUACCCUGGUAGUCCACGCCGUAAACGAUGAGUGCUAAGUGUUAGGGGGUUUCCGCCCCUUAGUGCUGCAGCUAACGCAUUAAGCGCUCCGCCUGGGGAGUACGACCGCAAGGUUGAAACUCAAAGGAAUUGACGGGGACCCGCACAAGCGGUGGAGCAUGUGGUUUAAUUCGAAGCAACGCGAAGAACCUUACCAAAUCUUGACAUCCUUUGACAACUCUAGAGAUAGAGCCUUCCCCUUCGGGGGACAAAGUGACAGGUGGUGCAUGGUUGUCGUCAGCUCGUGUCGUGAGAUGUUGGGUUAUGUCCCGCAACGAGCGCAACCCUUAAGCUUAGUUGCCAUCAUUAAGUUGGGCACUCUAAGUUGACUGCCGGUGACAAACCGGAGGAAGGUGGGGAUGACGUCAAAUCAUCAUGCCCCUUAUGAUUUGGGCUACACACGUGCUACAAUGGACAAUACAAAGGGCAGCGAAACCGCGAGGUCAAGCAAAUCCCAUAAAGUUGUUCUCAGUUCGGAUUGUAGUCUGCAACUCGACUACAUGAAGCUGGAAUCGCUAGUAAUCGUAGAUCAGCAUGCUACGGUGAAUACGUUCCCGGGUCU
rnacentral:rRNA from 1 species